rnacentral:rRNA from 1 species
CAGUAGCCGCGGUAAUACGUAGGUGGCAAGCGUUGUCCGGAAUUAUUGGGCGUAAAGGGCUCGCAGGUGGUUUCUUAAGUCUGAUGUGAAAGCCCCCGGCUCAACCGGGGAGGGUCAUUGGAAACUGGGAAACUUGAGUGCAGAAGAGGAGAGUGGAAUUCCACGUGUAGCGGUGGAAUGCGUAGAGAUGUGGAGGAACACCAGUGGCGAAGGCGACUCUCUGGUCUGUAACUGACGCUGAGGAGCGCAAGCGUGGGGAGCGAACAGGAUUAGAUACCCCAGUAGUCCCUGUCUCUUAUAC